UGGGGAAUAUUGCACAAUGGGCGAAAGCCUGAUGCAGCAACGCCGCGUGAGGGACGACGGCCUUCGGGUUGUAAACCUCUUUUAGCAAGGAAGAAGCGAAAGUGACGGUACUUGCAGAAAAAGCGCCGGCUAACUACGUGCCAGCAGCCGCGGUAAUACGUAGGGCGCAAGCGUUAUCCGGAAUUAUUGGGCGUAAAGAGCUCGUAGGCGGUUUGUCGCGUCUGCUGUGAAAACCCGAGGCUCAACCUCGGGCCUGCAGUGGGUACGGGCAGACUAGAGUGCGGUAGGGGAGAUUGGAACUCCUGGUGUAGCGGUGGAAUGCGCAGAUAUCAGGAAGAACACCGAUGGCGAAGGCAGAUCUCUGGGCCGUAACUGACGCUGAGGAGCGAAAGGGUGGGGAGCAAAACAGGCUUAGAUACCCUGGUAGUCCACCCGUAAACGUUGGGAACUAGUUGUGGGGUCCAUUCCACGGAUUCCGUGACGCAGCUAACGCAUUAAGUUCCCCGCCUGGGGAGUACGGCCGCAAGGCUAAAACUCAAAGGAAUUGACGGGGUCAUAGCUG
rnacentral:rRNA from 1 species